GGACCUCCAUGACCAGUGUCUGCAGAGCCAGGGGUACAGGUGCCCAGUGCUGUGGCCUGGCACCAGCUGCCUCUCAGAGGGUGGGUGGCACACUGUCCUUACCCAGAGGACAGCAGGCCUGGUCACCAGCUUUUCUACCUGCCCCUGUAAGCAUCACCUUGCUGGAGGAGAAUUUCAUCCCAGAGCUUGGACUGUCCCUAGCUCAGGGGCUAGGGGUUGUCUCUUGGUGACAUAAAUGAAAAACCAGGUCCAGAUCAGAGUUCCUGAUGUUGAACACUCAUCCAUUCUUUGAAUCAUGGGAGGGGAGGCCUGGUACUAGGUGGGCCUAACCUCUUUGAGGAACCACAGAGCCCAAGGCUGGAAACCUCCAGAAUCCUCCACCCCCGAUCCUCCCUGGGACCCCUGUGGCCUGUCUCACCGAGCACUCUUCCAUCCCUACAUGUCUCGGCUGCUCUAUGAGGGAGUUCCCUUUCAGGUGUGGGGCUGGGCAUGGCCACUCCUGCUGGAUGUCUAGAUGGUGGAAACCAAGGGCCUAGGGAAAUACCAGGUACAGCCUUUCCAUGUUCAUCCAGUGCAGGACAAACAGGUCAGGUGGUGUCAGGAGCCCAGGUCUCCAGCUGGAGGGAACGUCAACCCUGCAGUGGGAACAGGGGCCCAUUGUACAUCCUAGGCACAGACACCACAGGUAAACUGGGCUUGGUACCUACCCCUCCCCGGAUUCAGAAAGAAGCCAAACAAGGAGCUUUGUGCAGAAUGAAGCCUCCUUCCUUCCAGAAGCACUGUUGACUGUUUGGCGGUUGCCAUUUGUGGCAGUGAGCCUUUUGUUUAUUCUGAGGUUGGGCUGGUUUCUCCUCUUGGCCCUGACCUACAGAUUAUAAAGGAGAGCAGCAAGAGGUCCCCAGGAAACAUCCACAGAUGGCAUUGGAAAUAAGUCACCUUCUGAGAAGCAUGUCAUGCUCUGGGAGGGCUAAGGCAUCAAGUAAGGCCUAUGGGGUUGGAAGAUCCCUGGGCAGGUGGGGCAAUCCACAGCCUUGGGGUCUUCCCAUGGGAAUCGGGAGGUCCUGAGGCAGAGGCAGUGGUCCCACAGGAGGAGUCACAGAGCCACCAAGGGCUCUCCUGGCCCAGGGAGCAGUCAACACCAUGGACUGAACACCUGCUGGGCUCAAAGUCCUGGUCCAGACUGGGGCAUGUAGGGCCAGGAGGGAUCUCGGAGUGGGAGACAGAGAGACAAGUGUGCUCAGAGGGCACCCGUUUCUGGAAGUAGUGUGGUCCAGAGAUUUUGGCUGGGAAGAGCUUCCAGGGUUUCAUAUGUGUUGUGGAGCUACUUCCUCUCUCCAGCCUCACUCUGCAGGAAUGCCAGUGAAUAUAUUGCCGCCACCUUGGAGCUCAGUGCCCUCAUAGUGUAAUGGCACCAGCAGAUCUGCCUGUGCAUGGACUUCCUCUACUACCUCAUUCCUGAGGAGCAAUGCUUCUGCAGGGCCUCUGACUUGGUGCACAACUUCAGACACCAUCAUCCUGGAGCAGUACCGCACCCUCACUAGCCAGGGUGUUGAUGACUUCCUCAAGGCCAAGGCCACGUUCAAGGCUUCGGACUUCAUUGAUGCACUUGUGCUGAGCAAGGCGGGCUUCUCCGGGACCUUAAUUCAGGAGGUAGAAUGGAGCUUGGGAUCAAGCAUCUGAUGAAAGAACUUGCACUUGAUCUGGAAGGCUCUGGGGAGCCAUGGAAGGUGCUGGAUAAAGGAGUGACAGAUUCGUUUCAGAGAUGACUGUAGAAGGCUGCCUAGGAGUGAACAAGAGCCAGGAGGCCAGGGAGGGAGCUUGUGGGGCAGGUCUGGAGAUGGCAAGGGAGGGAUCCUGCUUGGAUGAAAGGUCUUCAGGCACUGUCUCAGGUUACACUCAGGUGCCCUCAGAGCUAGUAUGUUCAGAGUCUUGCCUCCAGGAUGAAAAUGGGAAGGAGUUGUCAGACGAGGACAUAGAAAUGGAGGCUGGCAUAUUCAUGAGUGCCAGUGGUGGUCCCGGUGUGGGACUACUGUGGGAACAGGGGUCUUUCCAUUCAGGGAUGUGGUGGAUGGACCCUACAUCACUCCAUUCUGCCCUUCCUUUCCUUCCUCUCAUUCUCCCGAAAGCCUCAGUGCGUGGGCGCUGUUCAUCCUGUGGUGCUGAAGCAGCCAAGAGUCACAAGCCUGCCUGGCUGCCUCUUAGGAUAUGACAGCAGAGGCAGUGGCCUCUACUGGAUCCUGUACAACUUCACAAAACACCCAGACACCGGGAGUGCUGCCAGCACGUGAUGAAACAGUUCUGAGGGAUCACAGUCUUGAAGACAUUGAAUAACCUGUCACUGUGCUGUUUUUACCAAAAAUGACCAUGAGGAUCAGAGAGGGAAAGUCACUUGCCUAAAGUCACACAGCUGAACAGUGGUGGAGUUCAACUUUGACCAUGGGCUGUCUGACCCCAAGUUGUAUACUUGCUUCUCUCCCAAGAGACUCCUCUCUUAUCAGGCUCAAAUGAAUGAAAGGAGGAUGUUAAAGUUCCUAGAAGCUGUAAUUGAAUGACAGAUCCUAGUAUAUCUGUACCUACUAAAAACCACACUUCUGAAGCGACAUGGCCACCGGAAGCCACAGCUAGUCUGCCAUGUAAAAAAGGAAAGGUCCAUGUGCCCUGAGGGUGCAGGGGUGAGAGGCAGGGGAAUGGAGACCCCCACAGCCAGCAGCAGUGGCCCUCAUCACAGCCCUCUGGGAGAUAUGAAAGGAGG